CACUUCCGGUCCCGCCGCCGGGAGCCGGUGCGGCUGUGAGGCCCGCGUCUCGCCGCCGCCGCCGGCCGGGCAUGGUGUUGGGCACCAUCCCGCCUCGCCUAACUCGGGGUGCCCAGAGGAAAGGCAGCAGGAAUGCUAACGCUGGCAAGCAAACUGAAGCGGGAGGACGGUCUCAAAGGGCCUCGGACAUCUGCCGCUGCGUCUGACUCCACUCGGAGGGUUUCUGUGAGAGACAAGUUGCUGGUGAAAGAAGUUGCAGAACUUGAAGCUAACUUACCUUGUACAUGCAAAGUGCAUUUUCCUGAUCCAAACAAGCUGCAUUGCUUUCAGCUAACUGUAAGCCCAGAUGAGGGUUACUACCAGGGUGGAAAAUUUCAGUUUGAAACUGAAGUUCCUGAUGCGUACAACAUGGUGCCUCCCAAGGUGAAAUGCUUGACCAAGAUCUGGCAUCCCAACAUCACAGAAACAGGGGAAAUAUGUCUAAGUUUACUAAGAGAGCAUUCGAUUGAUGGCACUGGCUGGGCUCCCACGAGAACAUUAAAGGAUGUUGUUUGGGGAUUAAACUCUUUAUUUACUGAUCUUCUGAAUUUUGAUGAUCCUCUGAACAUUGAAGCCGCAGAGCAUCAUUUGCGAGACAAGGAGGACUUCCGGAAUAAAGUGGAGGACUACAUCAAGCGCUAUGCCAGAUGAUAAGAGGAGGUGGUUGUAGGCCUGUGGACUGUGUGUCACAGCUUGUCUCUAAUGUGAAACAGCACGAGUUUGUAUUUUCAUUGUAUAGAGCAGACACAAAGAUGUUGGGUCAAGCAACUAUUGAAGAGAAAUACAAAGAAACUAUGAAAGCCACAGUACUCAGUCUCUCCAAGCGCAGCAGGAACCUGGCUCCUAGACAGCAGCUCGUUUUCAGGUCCAUAUGUGGCAAGAAUGUUUCGGAGCCCUUAAAAGCUAGUUCUGGAUGAUAAGAAACCAAAGUCAGGGAGUACUGCCUCACAUGCUGCCCAGAGAAAAGAAGCUGGGCCUAGACUGGCCGGGGUUGGCAGUUCUACAGUGGUCACAUGAGCAUGAGCCCUUGGUUGUAUACCAGCGCUGCAUCCUUGCUGUCCUGGGAGACAAGAGAUGCCUUGGGAGUCAGCUCAGUGUCUGAUACGAACAAGACUGUGCUGUGGCUGUUUUCUGCCUUGGCUGUGGUUCUGGGCCCUGGUGGGGUGACCCUGGUAGGCCUUGGAGAACCAGGAGUCAGCAGCAAAACAUGCCACGCUCUGUCAGGGAGGCACCCUUCAGAGGAAGAGCCCUGAAGAAAGACUAGUGCAUUUACUCCAGCAUUUAGACACUUGACCAGUGAAUCCAAAUGCAGAAUAAACGCCUGGUUCCAUUUCCUACCUGCCUAACAUCCCAGUAUACCUACCAGUCUCUUUACACCUUUGGAGUCCUGGCCAUCUUCCACAUACUGGGUGUAAUGUGCUGUUCCUACUUAUAGAAUCUAAUUCUUAGAUCAGUCUGGUGGAGAUCCACCAGGUGAGCAGUCUAGACCUUGAUUCUUUAUUUUGGCUCCAGGAAUUGUGCCAGUGAGACUUGAGAUGGCCCUUGCUGGCAAGCCACACAUCUAGGUGCACAGAGCAGGAAGGACGGGCCUGACAGAGUAAAUGGUGCCAUCCCAGUGGCUCGGGACUUGCCAGGGCACCACAGUGUUCCCACCUCCCAAGGACUAGGAGAGGUGCUGUGACUCUUGCUUUCCUUCUGAUGUUGUUGAGGUUACCAGGAGCUCACCCAGCCCAGCACUGAGGCAGUGUCUGCUCACUCUACUGCCCAGCAGAACCAGUACCAGAUGUGGGUCAUGGCCCAUCCCACGAUAGCUGCCCAGGGUGCCAGCAUUGACAGUAGGACUCUUCGUGAGAAUGCUUAAUGAAGAAACGAUGUCAGUGCCUACUGCUCAGGGCACGUGCUGAGUAGGUGGGAGGUAGUGUGCCAGGGCCACCACGAGCGCAGUGCUAACUCCGGAUGUGGCUCACCAGCACACGGUGCUACGCUGGGUGCUUGCUCCAAGACCUCCAGAUCUAGGCCUUAUGGCGUCUCCUUCCCACGCUCAGGCACAAGAGGAGUCUCUGAUCUCUCCCUAAACAUGACCCAUCCAGCAAAUCACCUCCUCUUUGUGGUCCCUAAGGAGCUGGUGCAGGAUACCACUCAGAGUCCAGGUCUUGGCUGUAUACCCCUGUGCCUUUUUCCUCCCAAGCUCUUGUUCCUCGUCUGUUUGAUUCUGCUUAUUGCUAUGUGGGCCAAGCUGGCCUUGGACUUGAUGAUCUUCCUGCUUCAGCCUUCCAGGUGCUAGGACUAUAGGCAGGUGCCAAUAUACCCACCUCAUCUGUGAGUUUCACUCACUGUUCAGGAGCAUGCAAACAGGUCCCAAGGAGUAGUCUUGCAUUAUGGGUAAUCUCACUUUUCUUCAUGCCCAAGCAUGGAUAGUCUUAGUGGCUAUUCAUAGUCUCUUCCAACUGCACAGUAGGCCAGGCAUGUACUUGCAGGAGAAAUCAUCUCUAUGGACAGACACUGUGGAGAAACUUUGAGUGAGGCUGUUCCCAGGGGCUAUUCUCACCUCACUACCACCCACCUCUAUGAAAGUAUGAUGAAAAGCUUUCAGAUAAGCCCAAAUAUGAUCAGUUGUUUAUUUUCUUCCCCUAAAAAAUCUGUGGCACGAUGCAUACAUUCUGAUUACCCUUUGUUUAGCAGAACCUCCCUGCUCCUUAACAGACUAUAAAAUUAACUCCCAUACUCCUUGGACAUUGGACUUUUUCUGAUAAAAAACCAAGCAGAGUUUAUUUCCAUGUAAAAAAUUCCAAAAACCUGAAUCACCAGUUACAGUGUGUAAGUUUGCACUUCUUUCCCAUUGUCCAUUUCAGGUUGCUUUCACCUUCAUCCAUUUACAGAUGCUUAGUCUUAGAAACUGAUCACUUCAACUUCAUUAUACAAAAUAAAAUGAACUUAGUCAAGUGCUGAAUGAUAGUGUGAAUAACAUGGGGCCAGUUCUUUUGCCAGCGAAGAACUUGAAAAGGUGAGGAUGCCCAUGACACCCCUCUCUCCUCCCUAAGUCUCUGCCUCUAGCAAAGAGCAUCAUGGGAGUCUGGCUCAGCAAUCCAUACUCCCUUCUGCAUUACUGAAAGGAUUUCUCAUUUUUAAAAAAUUCUUCCAAAAACCCCAUGAUGGAGGCAUUUGGGACUUUGCAUUUGUUGAGAAUGUGCAUUUGAUCAUGGUGAGUGGUAUAAAGAACUGAAUUACUUAAAAAGAGAGAGAAGCCGGGCGUGGUGGCGCACGCCUUUAAUCCCAGCACUUGGGAGGCAGAGGUAGGAGGAUCGCCGUGAGUUCAAGGCCACCCUGAGACUCCGUAAUGAAUUCCAGGUCAGCCUGGGCUAGAGUGAGACCCUACCUCGAAAAACUAAAAAAUUUAAAAAAAGAGAGAGAUUUGAGCUCACUAACUUUAAAUCCCGAAUUCACUGAGCCAGUAGGUUCCUGUUUUUGAGAUUAUGUUAGGUCUGGUUGGAAGCGGCAACGCUUGCCCUCUGGUGCUGAGGACUCUAUAAAUGCUUCCUGCACAGCCUGCAAGGAUAAACACUUGGUAGGCAGCCAGCAGUGCCAGUAGAGAAGAGCAGUGGUAGUUAACAUUUCACUCACUGCAUGAAGCAUUUUGACUCACAGUGGACAUCUGGGUAUGUUGAGUCCUUAGUCUACUAACCAGUGGGUGAGCCAGCAGGCCUGAUCUGUUUUGUUAUGUUUUUAUCCUCAGUCUUCCAACUUCACUAAACUUCCUGGCAAUUCAUGAUACCCAUGCAGAUUAAUAUCAAACCAGCCAUUUGUAUUAUCAAAGAUUCUCUUUAAAGAGAACAAUAUUCAAAUCGUAAGCCUGUGUCCUUCCUAACCAUGGGAGGUUGAGGGUUCAUAACUUGGAACAAUACUGGGUAAAGCCUUGUUCCCUCUUCUCAAGAGGCUUCAUGUUGUCGGAAAGAACAGAACCUGUACUCCUAGGAGAGCCUGGCAGGGAACGCAGGCACAGGUCCAGUGAUGGUCUCGCUGCCCUCAUUGUGGGCUUUCCAGACUGUUAUGGUGGUUUGUCAGUGGAGGCAGAGCCAGCUGUCAUUCAUGCCAAAACCAAGAGGGACAGUAGAGCCUGUCCACAACCUUUUCCUAUGGGAAAUGUUUCUAAAACACCCUUGGCCAGCCCAUGUCUUCCCUUGCCUCCAGAAUAAGCUCCCAUACCUGGCAUACAAAGCCCUUUGAGAUUAGGCCUCUCCACUCUUGCCAGCCUUGAAGAGAACAGCCACUGCGUGUUGGGUCCUAGGUUCAUGCCCUUAGAUGACAUCCACUUUACUGUGCCAAGACACUUAGCUUCUCUGUUGGGUCUCCAUCCCAGUUUCAACUCACAUAUUGCUGUUGUAGGCUCUGCUUGCUCUGACAGGCCCUUUGGAGAGCCUCUAUCUUUCCUAGCCAUCCAGAAGCCCCAAGGUGGGACUACACUUGCCCUCAUAUGUACUCCUGUCUCUCCUGGGGUAUAGGCCUCACCUUGGCCAUGCACUGUAACGGUCUGGCAGUUCAGUGUUGAGCACAUGUAAUCUGGUGGACACGCCAUACUACAGACAGCACCUGAGGAGCCGCCCAGAGGAUUAAGUGUGCUGGCCAGCCAGCAGAUCACCGAGGGGAUCUGCCAUCAUCCAGUGAGCCUUUGCCCAAAAAAAACGGUGUCCAGGAUAAAUGUGACUGGAAAUGAAAUGAGGACAGAAAUACCUCCAGGAGAUGUGGGUGACACCUCAGACUGGGAAUGUCAGGAGGCAGCAGGCCACGGUGAGAGCAGUGGUGAUGUAAAGCAGCUGGAACAGGACAUCAGCCAUCAUGACUGAACCACAGCAGUAAGCACAGGACCGACCAUGGAGACAGCUGAGGGAUUCUCUGAGAUGCAGAAGACAUAUGCCAGGGGAGGCAAGGUGAAGGUGAUCUGUUCCUGCAGCUUGCUGUGCAAACACCUGGCCAUCUACCUAUAACACUAUCAUUGAGCGAGACUCACUAAGGCCUGGCUGAAGGAGGACCUGGAUGGAAGCCCAUGGCUCACUUGACUGAGAGGGAACUGAGUCAAGAAGCGUGAGUCACAGGCAGGCUGCAUAGAGCUCAAACAGAGCGUUCCUUUGCCCUUCAGCUAAAGACUCCUGUGUCUGCCCCCAAGAACAGCUGAGGCUGAGAAAGACUGCCCAAAUGAGCUGAGAUUACACAGGCUCAGGGAAAAGUAAACCUGAAAGCACCUGAAAGUGAAUUCAACCUUUUCUACCUUAAGCACCAGUCUCAGACCCCUGGCUUUUGGAGACUGCCAUCCAGUGACGUGGGCACUGCUGGGGAGAGUUGGAGGGGAAGGAACCUACCACACUGAGUUUGCAUCAGGCAUAGUUCUUGUCCUUCCCGCAGGCCUGAGGCUGCCCUCCAGGGAGAGACACGGUCAGCCCAGCCAGGGCAAGCCCUUCUGUCUUGCCAGGCAGGGCUGACAGCAGGCCGCCUGCACUGUAGCAGCUCAGCUAAGCUUGUGCUGACCUGGAGCAUAGGACCGUCUCCCAAAUACACAAAAAUCUGGGACACUACUGAAAGUCACCACCCAACAAGUAGGACAUUAAAUGAUAAAGCUGACCAACACUAGUAAUGAGGCAAGUCAAAUGUUGGGAUUGCCUUGCAGAUUUUUAAGGCACUUAUCAUAAUCUGCAAAACUUGCUAUGAAUUCUGAAGCCAAUGAAAAUAGAAAAUCUGUACAAAUACACAGGAUUUCAGAUUCUGGAUGCAACACAGGUCAGGCAGUGUCUCUGAGUGAGGACUGCUCCUGGCUUCAGGGCACCCCAUCCCUUAGGGGAGAGCUGGGUCUCAGGAGGCCAGGGAAAGUAAAAUACACGGCAACAGAAACGUGAACAUUUCCCUGGAUAGGCUCAGUCGUAGAGAAAUGACAGAAAAUAGGGUCAUUACAUUUGAGGACAGCUGAAGUAGUCCAGGCAAGGGGGAAAACCCAUCACAUCUCAGGAUCUAUGAGAUAGCAACAAGAGACCCAGCGUCACAUGUCUGAGACCCAAGUGGAGAAGAGGAAGUAAAGAACCUUCCCCAGUUUGGUGAAAAACGCAAACAUACUGGUUCCUGCACAAGAUGAACUCAAGUCCACACCAAGAAACACUGGCAGUCAAUCUUCUCAGCACUGUAACAAGAGGGUGCCGGAGAGCCCGAGUGAUGUGCUGCCUGAAGGGAUCAGCGGCCUGAAUGACAACAGGUUUCUCCUCAGGAACUAUGGGGGCUAGAAGGCGGUGACACCAUAACCACGUGCUGGAGGAGAAACGUGGUCAUUGCGGCCCUGUGCCCAGCAGAACUUCCAGGAAAGAGAAGUCAAACUUCAUCUGUGUUCUGCCCUGACUGACUGAAGUUCAGAAGUUCUCCAGGCAGGAUAGGAAUCUUCAUUAUCAUACACGGUUUGAAAAUUCAACCAUUUGAUGCUCAGACAGUGAUACUAAAAUGGAAGGAUGAGCUGGGGAUACACCUCAAGGUGGAGUCCUAACUUGUCAUGUGUGAGGCUUUGGCUCAAUCUCUAGUCCUAUGCACCACCACCACCCCCAAAAAAAACAGGAAAUAAAGGAAAAUAAACCCA